rnacentral:ncRNA from 1 species
UUAAUAAAGAGUUUGAUCCUGGCUCAGGACGAACGCUGGCGGCACGCUUAACACAUGCAAGUCGAACGGAGAUAUUUUGAGUUUACUUAGGAUAUCUUAGUGGCGGACGGGU